GUGUGUAUAGGUAAUAUCUUAAAGACACCAGAUCCCAUCUGAUGUUGGAAAAUAAGUCAAGUCGAUGCUGGUGAGUACUUGAAUGAGAGACUGGCAAUGAAUACUCACAUCAUACUCACA
rnacentral:rRNA from 11 species